AAAAUAGAGGCACAAGCACAAUGCAAACACCACAAUAUAUAGUGGUUCGGUGCUCUCCUUAGCACCUACGUCCACUCCCCAAGCGUACCCUUGGGAUUUCACUAUAAUCACGCGGAUUACAGUUGGAUUGUUUUUCGGGCUCACAAUCCAAAAACCUAGUUGGUUUUACGGGCUCACCAACGAACCUAUACACUUGGUUUUGCGGGCUCACCAAGAACCUUGUUGGUUUUGCGGGCUCACCAACGAACCUAUACAACUUUGGUUUUACGGGUUCACCAAAAACCUUUGUUGGUUUUGCGGGCUUACCAACGAACCUUUACAAAGAGUUUAAGCAAAUGAAAAUAAAAAAUUUAACUCCUAAAUGAGCAUAUAAGACAAUAUGAGCAACAAAGAAGAGUUUAGAAGGAAAUUAUCGCUUUGAAGUUGCUUUGCUCUUCUUUGUCAAGGAAGCUUCACUCUUCAAUGGGGGAAGGAGCUCUUGAUGCCUCUUUGAAUGUGCUCAAUCCCUUUCUUUGAUUCUUGAAUGAAGCUCUUGAUGAAGAAGAUUAGGGCUCUUUUGUAUUCUUG
rnacentral:lncRNA from 1 species